UACGAAGGGGGCUAGCGUUGUUCGGAAUUACUGGGCGUAAAGCGCGCGCAGGCGGUCUUCCAAGUCAGUGGUGAAAGCCCGGAGCUCAACUCCGGAACUGCCAUUGAAACUGUGAGACUUGAGGAUGAGAGAGGUGAGUGGAAUUCCCAGUGUAGAGGUGAAAUUCGUAGAUAUUGGGAAGAACACCGGUGGCGAAGGCGGCGACCUGGUCCUUGACUGACGCUGAGGCGCGAAAGCGUGGGGAGCAAACAGG
rnacentral:rRNA from 1 species